AAUAGACUUCAUACGAGGUGCUGCAUGGCUGUCGUUAGCUCGUGCCGUGAGGUGUUAGGUUAAGUCCUGCAACGAGCGCAACCCCUGUUUCCAGUUGCCAUCAAGUAAAGUUGGGGACUCUGGAGAGACUGCCUGCGCAAGCAGAGAGGAAGGUGGGGAUGACGUCAAGUCAGCACGGCCCUUACGUCCAGGGCCACACACGUGCUACAAUGGCCGAUACAGAGGGCAGCUACCUGGUGACAGGAUGCAAAUCUCGAAAGUCGGUCUCAGUUCGGAUCGGAGUCUGCAACUCGACUCCGUGAAGUUGGAUUCGCUAGUAAUCGCGCAUCAGCCAUGGCGCGGUGAAUACGUUCCCGGGCCUU
rnacentral:rRNA from 1 species